GAUGAAGAACGCAGCGAAAUGCGAUAAGUAGUGUGAAUUGCAGAAUUCAGUGAAUCAUCGAAUCUUUGAACGCACAUUGCGCCUUCUAGUAUUCUGGGAGGCAUGCCUGUUUGAGCGUCAUUAAACCUCUCUCAAGUAUGAUUACUUGGAUGUGAAGGAAGAGUACCUUAAACUUAAGGAGUGUUCUCCUUUGAAAUUGAUUAGCAGAUGGUAAUGUUAUUAAAUCCCUGAUGUUGUAAGAAAUAACAGUGGUUUUGUAGACUAUUAUCUAGCUUUAAAUUAUAAUUUUUAUUAUGGUUGACCUCAAAUCAGGUAAGGAUACCCGCUGAGCUUAAGCAUAUCAAUAAGCGGAGGA
rnacentral:misc_RNA from 1 species